AAGGAUCAUUACAGUGAAAUGCUGUAGACUUGGUGUCUUUGGAUAAAACACUAAAGUAUUCUGAAGCUAACGUUUUAUUAUGCUAAAGUGGCCUGCAAAGGAAUCCAGCACCGCCCAACCUUGUCAAUAUAUUAAAACGUUACCUCGGCAGGUUUGCCUGCCGGUGGACAUUUAGAAUCUUUUAAAUUUAAGCUUUAUUUAGUGAAUAGUCUGAUAAUAAAUUUAAUAAAUUUAAAACUUUCAACAACGGAUCUCUUGGUUCUG
rnacentral:misc_RNA from 1 species